AAACUGUUGUGGGCUUUCCAGCCCUAACAGACAGUGACGCAGCAAUAUGCGAUCCAAUAUGGGUAAAGCAUCCCUUAAUAAUGACAUUACUUAUUUGUAAUGCCAUUACUUGCUUUGUUCGCAGAAUUUCAGAUCAUCAUAACUUUCAAAAUCUUACACAAAUGUUUUUAUUUUCAUUACUUGUAUAGGUACAUAUGUUAUGGACAGGAUUAAAUUUGACCACAAAUUCUUCAUCAAUGAGUCCAACUCAAUCAUUUGAGGCCAUUUUUGAUCAAUAUGGAAGAAUCCGUUGGGCAUUAGAGUGGCACUCAGUUCAAAAUUUUAAUUUCUAUAUAAUUUACAUUUCAGAUACCAAUUUCAGAUAAGGAGGAGAAUCAAUUGCUGGAUUCAAAAGACAUAAACCAUACAGAGGAAAUCAAAAUUCUAAGCGAUGUAUGCAUUAAGCAUGCUUCCUCACAUGUAAGGAUAACAUGGGCCUGAAAAUAUAUAUCACCACGUCUAUGAGGGAUAAUGAGUUGUAAGUAUGUAAUAUUGAAGUAACAAAUAUGCAUGAUAUUUUCAGGAUGAACAAAUAACAGAAAACACAAGUAAUGCCACCUAUAAAUCCCCUUCUCCCGAUAUAGUGUUGAAUGAGCCAGAAGGAAGAAACUGGACUUCAUAUACACCGAAAAAUUUGAGAGCGAAAACCUGAUCAAAAUUAAAGAAAGGUAAGAUUAACCCUAACAGGAAUGAGGAGAGUGCUCGGGAAAAAUAUUACAAUAAAAAGUUGGAACUUCUCAUCGAGGCAGAGGAAAGGGCAAAAGAAGAACAUCGGCGCAAGUUAAUUGCAUUAGA